CCUACGGGGCGCAGCAGUGAGGAAUAUUGGUCAAUGGGCGAGAGCCUGAACCAGCCAAGUCGCGUGAAGGCUGACGGCCCUACGGGUUGUAAACUUCUUUUGUCAGGGAGCAAUUGGGUCCACGCGUGGGCUUAGCGAGAGUACCUGAAGAAAAAGCCUCGGCUAACUCCGCGCCAGCAGCCGCGGUAAUACGGAGGAUGCGAGCGUUAGCCGGAUUUAGUGGGUUUAAAGGGUGCGUAGGCGGAAUAUCAAGUCAGCGGUAAACAUUCGGGGCUCAACCCCGUCGUGCCGUUGAAACUGAUGUGCGUGAGUGGGCGAGAAGUAUGCGGAAUGCGUGGUGUAGCGGUGAAAUGCAUAGAGAUCACGCAGAACUCCGAUUGCGAAGGCAGCAUACCGGCGCCCAACUGACGCUGAAGCACGAAAGCGUGGGUAUCGAACAGGAUUAGAUACCCGGGUAGUC
rnacentral:rRNA from 1 species